GAUGAACGCUAGCGGCAGGCCUAACACAUGCAAGUCGAGGGGUAACAGGGAAAAGCUUGCUUUUCCGCUGACGACCGGCGCACGGGUGCGUAACGCGUAUGCAACCUACCUCUUACUGGGGUAUAGCCCAGAGAAAUUUGGAUUAAUCCCCCAUAGUACCUUUCAAUCGCAUGGUUGAAUGGUUAAAGGUUACGGUAAGAGAUGGGCAUGCGUCCCAUUAGUUAGUUGGUGAGGUAAUGGCUCACCAAGACUCCGAUGGGUAGGGGUUCUGAGAGGAUGAUCCCCCACACUGGUACUGAGACACGGACCAGACUCCUACGGGAGGCAGCAGUGAGGAAUAUUGCGCAAUGGACGAAAGUCUGACGCAGCCAUGCCGCGUGCAGGAUGACGGCGCUACGCGUUGUAAACUGCUUUUAUUUACAAAGAAACCUCGGGACGUGUCCCGAGCUGACGGUAGUAUUUGAAUAAGCACCGGCUAACUCCG
rnacentral:rRNA from 1 species